ACAAGGUCUCCGUUGGUGAACCAGCGGAGGGAUCAUUACCGGGUCAAACGACUGCCCAAACCAAAACCGUGCACCGUACCAAAUUUCCGCUGCGGCGGGCCGCUCGCUGGGGGAGCCCGGGGCCGAAAGGCUGGCCUGCCGAAGCGACAGUUCUGAAUCACAUCAUAAAACUGUUCCGAGAGGUUUUUAUGCCUUUUAAUAGGUUGUCACAACCCACAACAAUGGAUCUCUUGGCUCCGGCAUCGAUGAAGAACGCAGCGAAAUGCGAUACGUAAUACGAAUUGCAGAUUCAGUGAAUCAUCGAGUCUUUGAACGCAUAUUGCGCCUCCUGGCACUCCAGGAGGCCUGUCCGACCGAGCGCCGUUUCACCGCUCGGGGUCCGUCUGGGAGUUCGUCUCCUAGCCUCCCCGGUGUUGGGGCAUGCCUUGCGGCAGCCCCCAAAUCCAGCGGCGGCCGCCUAGCGGUUCCCAAGGUGCAGUAAAAUGCCGCCUCGAGAGCCCGGGAAGGCCCGCCUAAACGGAGCGUUCAGGUUCAGCUUUUAAGUAAGCCUCGCCCGCGCCCACACCUUCUGGUUGGCCUCGGGUCGGACAAGAUUACCCGCUGAACUUAAGCAUAUCAAUAAAGGGGGAA
rnacentral:rRNA from 1 species